UGAACCUGCAAGGGCGUCUACGGCUGUUUUGACCAUAUCAUGAUAUACACAAACGGCCGCUGUCGAGAUUUUUGGUGCGCCCAAUGAUUUCAAAAUAUCGGGCCGCACGGGUUGCUUUGCUUUUUCACACAGCCUUUUUACGCGGGAAGCAGUAUCGUCGCCAGCGAGUGUUGUAAGAUCCAUGCAGCUUAUCGCACGGAGCAACCAACCGGUUUGAUGAUCCUUUUUUACAGACCUUCUGGCUGCGAGUGUGUUUGCUCGACGUUCAAUUGCUGAAGUAUUGGCUUGAGCGGACAUUACCCAAUCAAGGUCAAGUGAUAGGAUUGAAUUUCGUUUCAAAAGGUUUGCUUUGGUGUUUGCGGUUGGUGAAGUCA
rnacentral:rRNA from 1 species